rnacentral:rRNA from 1 species
ACACGGAGGGCGCAAGCGUUGCUCGGAAUCACUGGGCGUAAAGCGGGUGUAGGCGGACUAGCAAGUCAGAUGAGAAAGCCCACGGCUCAACCGUGGAAGUGCAUCUGAAACUGCUAGACUUGAGUGCCGGAGAGGGAAGUGGAAUUCCUGGUGUAGGGGUGAAAUCCGUAGAUAUCAGGAGGAACACCGGUGGCGAAGGCGACUUCCUGGACGGCCACUGACGCUGAGACCCGAAAGCGUGGGGAGCAAACAGGAUUAGAAACCCUAGUAGUCC